rnacentral:tRNA from 1 species
GGUUGUGGCUCCGUGGUAGAGUGCUUGCCUCAAAUCUGUGAGGCACUGGGUUCGAUUCUCAGCACCA